GUUAAUUGGUAUGGGAUGCCUCAGAAAGGAAAAUAUCCUCAGCUGGGAGGGGAGAGGGCCACAGGCUUUGCUUCUCCUUUAGUAGGCAAACAGAGGAAAGAGGGCACAUAGCAUCGUGGCAGUUCUCCAGGGAGCACAACAAUUUUCAUGCAGUCGACACAACUUUUCUUACCCAAAAGGGCAGAGACUGCUUGAGGAUCCUGAUUCACUGAUGCAGCGUUGAACCCUGGGUUUCUGACAAAUUAUUUUAUUAAAAGAAGAUUAGAAUUAGCAAAAGGAUCUUACCAAUUUUUGAAAAUGCUACUCUUGAAGAAGAAUAUUUCCCAUUAUUAACAGAUAUGAAUAGAGCUGCCCAAAGGUUAUGUUGUGGUGCAGACAUCUCUUAUUUGUGGGGAAAGAGAAAAAACAUCACUUAAUGCAGACAAGCACUACUGGGUACUAGCAAAAUACAACAUGAAUGUGAAACCAUGA